rnacentral:rRNA from 1 species
CCGUGGAGUGAUUUGUCUGGUUUAUUCCGUUAACGGGCGAGACCGCAGCCUGCUAAAUAGUUUUUGCUCACCUUUUGGUGGGUCGAGACUUCUUAGAGGGACAACUCCGGUCAUAACCGGGGAGGAAGUUUGCGGCAAUAACA